rnacentral:rRNA from 1 species
GGAGAGUUNNAUCCUGGCUCAGGACGAANGCUNGCGGCGUGCUUAACACAUGCAAGUCGGUGAAGGAGCCAGCUNNNNNNNNNNNNNNNNNNNNNGAACGGGUGAGUAACACGUGAGUAACCUGCCCCCUUCUUCUGGAUAACCGCAUGAAAGUGUGGCUAAUACGGGAUAUUCUGGGUCUGUCGCAUGGUGGGCCUGGGAAAGGUUUGNUCCGGUGGGGGAUNGGCUCGCGGCCUAUCAGCUUGUUGGUGGGGUGAUGGCCUACCAAGGCGGUGACGGGUAGCCGGCCUGAGAGGGUGGACGGUCACACUGGGACUGAGACACGGCCCNGACUCCUACGGGAGGCAGCAGUGGGGAAUAUUGCACAAUGGGCGCAAGCCUGAUGCAGCGACGCCGCGUGAGGGAUGGAGGCCUUCGGGUUGUGAACCUCUUUCGCCAGUGAAGCAGGCCUGCUCCUUGUGGGUNGGUUGACGGUAGCUGGAUAAGAAGCGCCGGCUAACUACGUGCCAGCAGCCGCGGUAAUACGUAGGGCGCGAGCGUUGUCCGGAAUUAUUGGGCGUAAAGAGCUNGUAGGCGGCUNGUNGCGUCUGUCGUGAAAUCCUCUGGCUUAACUGGGGUCNNNCGGUGGGUACGGGCCGGCUNGAGUGNGGUAGGGGAGACUGGAACUCCUGGUGUAGCGGUGGAAUGCGCAGAUAUCAGGAAGAACACCGGUGGCGAAGGCGGGUCUCUGGGCCGUUACUGACGCUGAGGAGCGAAAGCGUGGGGAGCGAACAGGAUUAGAUACCCUGGUAGUCCACGCCGUAAACGUUGGGCACUAGGUGUGGGGGGCCUAUUCACGGGUCUUCCGCGCCGUAGCUAACGCAUUAAGUGCCCCGCCUGGGGAGUACGGCCGCAAGGCUAAAACUCAAAGGAAUUGACGGGGGCCCGCACAAGCGGCGGAGCAUGCGGAUUAAUUCGAUGNAACGCGAAGAACCUUACCAAGGCUNGACAUAUGCCGGAUNGUCCUNGAGANGGGGNUUNCUNCUNUGGGGGCUNGUUCACAGGUGGUGCAUGGUUGUCGUCAGCUCGUGUCGUGAGAUGUUGGGUUNAGUCCCGCAACGAGCGCAACCCUUGUCUCGUGUUGCCAGCACGUNGUGGUGGGGACUCGCGGGAGACUGCCGGGGUCAACUCGGAGGAAGGUGGGGAUGACGUCAAAUCAUCAUGCCCCUUAUGUCUUGGGCUUCACGCAUGCUACAAUGGCCGGUACAGAGGGCUGCGAUGCUGUGAGGUGGAGCGAAUCCCUAAAAGCCGGUCUCAGUUCGGAUCGGUGUCUGCAACUCGACACCGUGAAGUUGGAGUCGCUAGUAAUCGCAGAUCAGCAACGCUGCGGUGAAUACGUUCUCGGGCCUUGUACACACCGCCCGUCAGGNCAUGAAAGUCGGCAACACCCGAAGCCNGUNGCCCANNNNUGGGGAGCGGUCGAAGGUNGGGCUNGU